UACGUAGGUGGCAAGCGUUGUCCGGAUUUACUGGGCGUAAAGCGCGCGCAGGCGGUUCGUUAAGUCCGGCGUGAAAGCUCCCGGCUCACCUGGGAGAGGGCGUUGGAGACUGGGGGACUGGAGGCAGGCAGAGGCCGGUGGAAUUCCCGGUGUAGUGGUGAAAUGCGUAGAGAUCGGGAGGAACACCCGUGGCGAAGGCGGCCGGCUGGGCCUGUACUGACGCUGAGGCGCGAAAGCGUGGGGAGCGAACCGG
rnacentral:rRNA from 1 species